AGCAUAGAACCAGAUUUCGGAUUUUUUGUAUAAAUUGCUGUAUGAGCGUGAACUACAACAGAUGAAUUUUUUGAGAACCGUCUAUGCUA